UACAGAGGGGGCAAGCGUUGUUCGGAAUUACUGGGCGUAAAGGGCGCGUAGGCGGCCAUCUAAGUCAGACGUGAAAUCCCCCGGCUUAACCUGGGAACUGCGUCUGAUACUGGAAGGCUUGAGUAUGGGAGAGGGAUGUAGAAUUCCAGGUGUAGCGGUGAAAUGCGUAGAUAUCUGGAGGAAUACCGGUGGCGAAGGCGGCAUCCUGGGCCAGUACUGACGCUGAGGCGCGAAAGCUAGGGGAGCAAACGGG
rnacentral:rRNA from 1 species